rnacentral:rRNA from 1 species
CAGCCGCCGCGGGAAGACGUAGGAUGCAAGCGUUGUCCGGAUUUAUUGGGCGUAAAGAGUUCGUAGGCGGUUUGUUAAGUCUGAUGUUAAAGAUCGGGGCUCAACCCUGGGAGUGCAUUGGAUACUGGCAGACUGGAGUGUGGUAGAGGCUAGUGGAAUUCCUAGUGUAGCGGUGAAAUGCGUAGAUAUUAGGAAGAACACCAGUGGCGUAGGCGACUAGCUGGGCCAUAACUGACGCUGAGGAACGAAAGCCAGGGGAGCAAACAGGAUUAGAUACCCCUGUAGUCCCUGUCUCUUAUAC